GGAAAAUACAAUCUGACGGGAAUGCUCCCCAGGAGAAGGCAAUUCCAAUUCCUACUGGCUGUUCGUUGCUCACCGAUCAUGGCAUCCACGGAACUUCGAGCACGGAGCUGCGGAGAGCCGGCGUAGGCCCUGCUGACGGGAACAUCUGUAUCCCAGAAGAGAUCUCAAUAAUCCAACAACCUCAUUCCCUGUAGCACAUCAUCUUUUCUGUGAUAUUAAAACCCUGAACGUGAUUCUGGACCCUUUCCCUCAGAUGGUCACAUAUGACAGCUAGCCCCAAAGAUGUUCCAUAGAGAGCCCGCACAGGAUCGGAAAAGUCUACAGGAAGUGUUAAACUCAGCCAACUCCAUCAUGGGCAAGGGCCUCCCGAGCAUCAAGGGCACCUUCAAAAGGCGAUGCCUCAGAAACACAGCAUUAAGCAUCAUGGUCACUCAUCACCCAGGACAUGCCCUCUUCCCAUUACUACCAUCAGGAAGGAGGUACAGGAGCUGAAGACACACACUUAAUUUUACAGAAACAUCCUCUUCGCCAUCAGAUUCCUGAAUGGAUAAAGAAUCCAUGAACACUACUUCACGAUUUUUGCUGUCUUAGCACUACUUAUUUAAGUAUGUACAGUAUAUAUUAUUGUGAUUUAUAGUUUUUAUUAUUAUGUUGCUGCAAAACAACAAAUUUCAUGACUUAUGCCAAUGAUAUUAAAUCUAAUUCUGACACUCUUUGGUGGACUUUUCUUACACCAUUUAAUGAUUUUUCUCAUGCCACAGUAGUGCAGCAGUUAGCACAGUGCUAUUACAGCUCAUGGCAGAGGAGUUCAGAGUUCAAUUCUGAGUUAGUGGUGGAGAGGAGGUCACUAAACAAACUGUUAUCAAUAAUGGACAAUCUGGCACAUCCUCUCCAUGACCGACUGAAUAAGCAGCGGAACACCCUUUCUAACAGACUCAUUCAGCUCCACUGUCACCAGGAUCAUUAUGGAAAAUUUUUCAUACCUAAUGCAAUAAGCAUAUACAACAGUUCAUAUCUGUGUGACAGGAGAACAAUACAAUAGUACAAUAUUUUCUGUUUUAUUAUUUUGUACAUUAGUAUUGCACAGUGCUGCACAUUAUUUCACAUUGGUAAAUUAUUAUUGUGUAUAUUAUUCUGUACUUUAUUAUUAGUUAAUAUAUUUAUUGUUAUUGCUAAGUGUGUUUUUAAAUGUUGCUGCUGUAAUGAAGUGAUUUUGUUAUUUCAGAUCAAUAAUGUAGGUGUUAUUAUUCUGAUGUCCUCUGUCAGCAAGUUUGUAUGUUCCUUUCUGUGUGCAUGUGUGUUUCCUCUGGGCACUCCAGCUUCCUCCCACUGUUCAAAGACAUACCAAAUAGGAGGUUCAUUGCUCAUUAUUAAUUGUCUUGUGAUUAGGCUCAGGUUAAAUCAGUGGGUUGCUGGGUGGCGCAGAUCAGUGGGCUGGAAGAGCCUAUUCCGCACUGCAUCUCUAAAUAAAUAAAUAAAACAAAUAAACAUCCACUGCCAAGUGGUUGCCUGCUCCAUCAGCCUGUGUCCUCCAAUCAUCUUCUAAAUUGUGAGCCAUUAACCAGUGUGCUCUUUAUUAUGGAAGCAUGUAUAUGAAGCCAUACACUGUUGAUUAAGGGGAAAAUGAGGGGAAACCUUUUCUUGGGCUAUGCAGGUACGGUAUGUGUCAGCAUCAGAGGCCCAUCACAGUUCGGAGUGCAAAUGUGAAAACAGCAGACUCGGAAAAAUCCAGUCUUCUUUUGGUGGCUGAGUUGCGGGAGUGUGAGUGUUGGUGUAUCUUGUACACCUCUAUCAUGUCUCAUCUCAUCCUCCUUCUCUCCAAAGCAUAAAGCCCUAGCACCCUUAAUCUCUGAUCAUAAUCCAUACUCUCUAAACCAGGCAGCAUCCUGGUAAAUCUCCUCUGUACCCUUUCCAAUGCUUCCACAUCCUUCCUGUAGUGAGGCAAUCAGAAUUGGACACAGUACUCUAAGUUUGGCCUAACCAGAGUUUUAUAGAGCUGUAUCAUUACAUUGUGACUCUUAAACUCUAUCCCUCGACUUAUGAAAGCUAACACCCCAUAAGCUUUCUUAACUACCCUAUCUACCUGUGAGGCAACUUUCAGGGAUCUGUGGACAUGUACCCCCAGAUCCCUCUGCUCCUCCACACUACCAAGUAUCCUGCCAUUUACUUUGUACUCUGCCUUGGAGUUUGUCCUUCCGAAGUGUACCACCUCACACUUCUCCGGGUUGGACUCCAUCUGCCACUUUUCAGCCAACUUCUGCAUCCUAUCAAUGUCUCUCUGCAAUCUUCGACAAUCCUCUACACCAUCUACAACACCACCAACCUAUGUAUCGUCUGCAAACUUGCCAACCCACCCUUCUACCUCCAAACCCAGGUCAUUAAUAAAAAUCACGAAAAGUAGAUGUCCCAGAACAGAUCCUUGUGGGACACCACUAGUCACAACCCUCCAAUCUGUAUGUACUCCCUCUACCAUGACCUACUGCCUUCUGCAGGCAAGCCAAUUCUGAAUCCACCUGGCCAAACUUCCCUGGAUCCCAUGCCUUCUGACUUUCUGAAUAAGCCUAUGUUGUGGAACCUUGUCAAAUGCCUUACUAAAAUCCAUGUAGAUCACAUCCACUGCACUACCCUCAUCUAUAUGCGUGGUCACCUCCUCAGAGAACUCUUAUCAGGCUUGUUAGACAUGAUCUGUCCUUUACAAAGCUAUGCUGACUGUCCCUGAUCAGACCAUGAUUCUCUAAAUGACCAUAGAUCCUAUCUCUAAGAGUCUUUCCCAACAGCUUUCCCACCACAGACAUAAGGCUCACUGGUCUAUAAUUUCCCGGGUAUCCCUACUACCCUUUUUUGAACAAGGGGACAACAUUCGCCUCCCUCCAAUGCUCCAGUACCAUUCCCAUGGACAAUGAGGACAUAAAGAUCCUAGCCAGAGGCUCAGCAAUCUCUUCCCUCACCUCGUGGAGCAGCCUGGGGAAUAUUCCAUCAGGCCCUGGGGAGUUAUCCUUUCUUGCUACCCUAUAUUCCUCAAUAGAUCCAUCUGAUCCUUGCUUCCUAAACCUCAUGUAUGCUGUCUUCUUCCACCUGACUAGCUUUUCCAUCUCACUUGUCACCCAUGGUUCCUUCACCCUACCAUUCUUUAUCUUCCUCACUGGGACAAAUUUAUCCCUAACAUCCUGCAAGAGAUCCUUAAACAUCGACCACAUGUCCAUAGUACAUUUCCCUGCAAAAACAUCAUCCCAAUUCACACUCGCAAGUUCUAGCCUUAUAGCCUCAUAAUCUUCCCUUCCCCAAUUAAAAAUUUUCCUGUCCUCUCUGAUUCUAUCCUUUUCCACAAGAGGGACAGCUUGCACCUGAACUGGAGGGGAACCAAUAUCCUGGCUGGGUGGUUUGUUGAUGCUACUCAGGAGAUUUUAAGCUAGUUUUGCAGGGGACUGGGAACUGGAGCCCCAGGUCAGUAAGGCAAAGAUCAGACCAGACAGUAGAUGUCAGGGAAAGUAUUGAAAAGCAAAUUAAAAAUAACAGGUAUAUUGGGUCGGAUUGUUUGAAGUGUGUAUAUUUUAAUACUAGGAGUAUUAUGGUUGAGAAUGAUGGUCUUGGAACAUGGAUCAGUACAUGGAAUUAAAAUAGUGAAACCAAUCCUGAAACUUGGUUGAGAGAGAGGCAGGAAUGAGUGAUUAAUGUACCAGCUUGUCAGUUUUAGUAUAGAUAGAGAAGGAGGCAAAAGAAGUGUGGGAAGUUGCACUAUUAAUUUGGCACACUAUCACAGUUGCACUCAGGGGAGACAUAAUGGAGGGGUUAGGUACUGAGUCCAUUUCAGUAGAACUCCGGAAUAGGAAGGCUGCAAUCACACAGAUGGGAUUAUAUUACAGACCCCCUAAUAGCCACUGGGACAUUGAGGAACAGAUUUGUAAUCAGUUAAGGAAAUGUGUAAAAAUAAUAGGGUUGUUGUCAUGGGGGAUUUCAACUUGCCUCAUAUAAACUGGGACCUUCUUAGUGUAAGGGGUUUAGAUGGGGCAGAAUUUGUUAAGGGUAUUCAAGUAGGUUUCUUAAAUCAACAUGUACAGUCCAAUGAGAGGGGGCUCCGUACUGGAGUUAUGGGUAAUGAGCCUGGCCAGGUGACUGACCUUUCAGUGGGUGAACAGUUAGGGUCAGUGACCACAAUUCCUUAACUUUCAGGAUAGCUAUAGAUAAGAAGAGAUAUAAUCUUUGUGGACAGUUUUGAAUUGGAGUAGGACAAAUUAUGAAGGUGUUAUGAGGGACUAGGAAGCAUUAGUUGGAAACCCUUUAUCUCUGGUCAGUCCACAUCAGCUGUGGAGGGUGUUUAAAGUUCAGUUGCACAGAAUGCAGAAAACAUAUGUUCCUGGUAGAAGGAAAGACAGGGAUGGAAAGGUGUCCAGAGAGGUGAUGAUUUUAGUCAAGAAGAAAAAGGAAAUGUAUGUCAAGUUUUGGAAGUUAGGAUCAAAUGAAACACAUGAGAGGUAUAAAGAAGCCAGAAAAGAUUUAAAGGGACUUAAGGAAAGCUGGGCUGGGGAGGGGGGGGUCAUGAAAAGUCCUUCUCAAGUAGAAACAUAGAAAACCUACAGCACAAUACAGGCCCUUCGGCUCACAAAACUGUGGCGAAUGUGUCCUUACUUUAGAAAUUACCUAGGGUUACCCAUAGCCCUCUAUUUUUCUGAGCUCCAUGUAUCUGUCCAGGAAUCUCUUCGAAGACCCUAUUGUAUCCACCUCCACCACCAUCGCCGGCAGCCAAUUUCACACAUUCACCACUCUCUGCGUAAAAAACUUAACCCCGACAUUUCCUCUGUACCUACUUCCCAGCACCUUAAACCUGUGUCCUCUUGCGGCAACCAUUUCAGCCCUGGGAAAAAAGUCUCUGACUAUCCACAGGAUCAAUGCCUCUCAUCAUCUUAUACACCUCUAUCAGAUCACCUUUCAUCCUCCGUCACUCCAAGGAAAAAAGGCUAAGUUCACUCAACCUAUUCUCAUAAGGCGUGCUCCCAAAUCCAGGCAACAUCCUUGUAAAUCUCCUUUGCACCCUUUCUGUGGUUUCCACACCUUCCUGUAGUGAGGCGACCAGAACUGAGCACAGUACUCCAAGUGGGGUCUGACCAGGGUCCUAUAUAGCUGCAACAUUACCUCUCGGCUCCUAAACUCAGUCCCACGAUUGAUAAAGGCCAAUGCACCAUAUGCUUUCUUAACCACCGAGUCAACCUGUGCAACAGCUUUGAGUGUCCUGUGGAUUUGGACCCCUAUGGGCUCGGACCUCCAAAUAGGAUUCAGGUGAAUCCCAAGGCAUUCUAGACAUUCAUGAAGAGCAAGAGGAGAACUAGGGAGCGGAUUGGACCACUGAAGGAUAAUGGGGGGGGGGGAACCAUUUACUUGGAUGUGGAGAAUAUGAGUGAGGUACUUGACUUCAGUAUUCUUUCUCACACUCUUUCUCAGUGAGGGAGAAUUUGCUGCUGAUUUUCAAGUCAGGGAACUUGAAAUAAAAAGCAACGCUUCAGACUGACUAACAUCGAAAUAGCAACUGUUGUCACCCCUUUUGCUAUGGAAGGAACAAUAUCUGUCUCCCCCUUGGUAGUAUGAGAGAGAGAGCCUGUGGGAUGUCGAAAAUAUUGGAAUGAACCCUACCAGCCUACAGAUCUUUUAAAGAAAGGGGCUUCCCUUCGUCCACUAUCAACUUUGCCCUCCAUCGCGUCUCCUGUAUUUCACGCACCUCUGCCCUCACCCCAUCCCCCUGCCAGCCCACCAGGGAUAGAGUCCCCCUGGUCUUCACCUAUCACCCUACCAGCCUACAGAUCCAAUGUUUAAUCUUCCAUAACUUCCGCCACCUCCUACGUGAUCCCACCACCAGCCACAUCUUCCCCUCCCCCGCACUCUCGGCUUUCAGCAGGAAUUGCUCCCUACGCGACUCCUUUGUCCAUUCAUCCCCCCCUAUCCCUCCCCACCGACCUCCCUCCAGGCACUUAUCCCUGCAAAUGGAAGAAGUGCUACACCUGCCCCCACACUUCUUCCCUCACCACCAUCCCAGGCGCCAGACAGUCCUUUCAGGUGAGGCACCACUUCACCUGCGAGUCAACUGGGGUGAUAUCUGGUGCUCCGGAUGUGGCCAUUUAUACAUUGGGGAGACCCACCGCAGACUGGGAGACAGUUUCGCCGAACACCGGCACUCAGUCCGACAUGUUUGUCCAUGGCCUCCUCUACCGUCAAGAUGAGGCCACACGCAGGUCGAUGGAGCAAUACCUUAUCUCCUACCUAGGUAGCCUCCUACCUGCCGGCAUGAGCAUUCAGACCUCCGUUGAUACCCCUGCCCCACCUUACCUCACCCCUAUCUAUAAUUUUAGUCUGGUUCUCUUUCUCUCUCUUCUCCCCCCUCACUUUAAUCUCCCCCCAGCCCUACCUUUCUUUCUCUUUUAUUUCCCAUAAUUCUCCACCUUCCCCCAGCCCAUUUCCCUUCAGCCUAUCACUUCCCAGCUCUCUACUUCAUCCCUCCCCCCAACUUCUUAUCCCCCCCUCGACCAUCCCAUGUUACUUCACUCCUGAUGAAGGGUUUCAGCCCGAAACGUUGUCACUACCUCCUCCCAUAGAUGCUGUCUGGCCUGCUGAGUUCUGCCGGCAUUUUGUGUUUUUUUAUUUAUUUCCAGCAUCUGCAGAUUCACUCGUGUUGCCUUGGAAUGAACAGUCAGUUUUCAAUGUACUGUCUCAGUUUGGGGCUGUUGUUGCCAGUAUGGUGGGUGAUGGGAAUGCUGAUGCUGCUUGUGUAUGGAAGGGGCAGGGGACUCUGCUGUUCAUUUUUUCGGGUUUUCUGUUUUGAGGAUGUCUAUGGAGAGUAAUAAUUCCAGGUUGUAUAUUGCAUGCAUUCUCGGAUAGUAAAUGGAACUAUUGAACUAUUUGCCAAGGAAAAGGAUAGAGAGGAUCAGGAGAUCAGUGCUGAAUGUAUAAGCAUGUAAAUUCAUUUAGAACUCAAAGAGGAGAAAGUGUUGGGCUUCCUAAUGAAUAUUAAGGUGGAUAAGUUCCCAGGACCUGAUGGCAUUUACCCCAGGUAAUUGAAGUAGGCAAGAGCCGAGAAUGUUGGGGCCUUGACCAGUAUCUUCGUGACCUCUCUAGCCACAGCCAAGGUGCCAGAGGGCUAGCAAGUAGUUAGUUGUACCUCUGUUUAAGAAGGGAACAAGGGAAAAUUCUGGCAACUAUAGACUGGUGAGUCUCAUGUCUGUUGUAGGGAAAUUGCUGGAGAAAAUUCUUAGGGAUAAAAUAUAUGAGCAUUUGGAACACUAAUUAGCAUGUCUUUGUGUGUGGCUGGUCAUGCCUUCCCAACCUGAAUGAGCUUUCUGACAAGGUGAUGAGAGAGAUUGAUGAGGAUAGGGCAGUGGAUGUUGUCUGCAUAGAUCUUAGUAAAACAUUAGACAGAGUCCCUCGUGGGAGGCUAAUCCAGAAGAUUAAGAUGCAUGGGAUUGACUGUUUGGAUUUAGAACUAGUUUGCAUAUAGAAGACAGGAGAUAGUAGUGGUAGUGACAUACUCGAGCUUCAGGUCUGUAUUUGUGCUGGGACCUCUGCUGCCUGAGAUGUAUAUAAAUGACCUGGAUGAAAAUGUAGAUGGGUGGGUUAGUAAGUUUACAGAAGAUAUUGAGAUUGUUGGAGCUGUGGAUAGUGUAGAAGAUUGGCGCAGAGUACAACAUAAUACAGACCAGUUACAGAAAUAGAGAAGUGGCAGAUGGAGUUUAACCCAGAUAAAUGUGAGUUGUUGCACCUUAGUAGGGCAAAUGCAAAGAAACGGUACACUUUUAAGACUAUAAAACCAUUAGACAUAGGACCAGAAUUAGGCCAUUCAGCCCAUUGAGUCUGUGCAACCAUUCCAUCAUGGCUGAUCCCAGAUCCCACUCAACCCCGUACACCUGCCUUCUUGCCAUGUCAUUUGAUGCCCUGAGCAAUCAGGUAACUAUCAACUUCCACCUUAAAUAUACCCAUGAACUUGGCCUCCACUGCAGUCUGUGGCAGAACAUUCCACAGAGUUACUGCUCUCUGGCUAAAAAAGUUCCUCCUUACCUCUAUUCUAAAGGGUUGCCCCUCAAUUUUGAGGUUGUGCCCUCUUGUUCUGAAUAGCCCCAGCAUAGGAAACAUUCUCUCUACAUCCACACUAUCUAUUCCUUUCAACAUUCCAUAGGUUUCAAAGAGAUCCCUAUGCAUUCUUCUGAAUUCCACUGAGUACAGGCCCAAAGCUACCAAACACUCCUCAUAUGUUAACCCCUUCAUUUCUAGAAUCAUCCUCAUGAACCUCCUCUGGACUCUCUCCAAUGACAACACAUCCUUUCUGAGGUGUGCUCAAAACUGUCAACAAUACUCUGGUGCCGCCUGACUAGUGUCUUAUAAAUGCUCAGCAUUACCUCCUUGCUAUUCCCCUUGAAAUAAAUGCCAACAGUGCAUUUGCCUUCUUUACCACAGAGUUAAACUGUGAAUUAACCGGUUGGGAGUCUGGCACGAGGACUCCUAAUUCCCUCUGCACCUCUGAUGUUUCAACUUUCUCUCCAUUUAGGUAAUAGACUGCACUAUUGUUCCUUUUACCAAAAUGCAUUAUCAUAUAUUUCCCAACACUGUAUUCCAUCUGCAACUUUUUUGCCCAUUCUUCCAAUUUGUCUAAGUCCUGCUGCAGUCGCUUUGCUUCCUCAGCACUACCUAUCCCUUCACUUAUUUUCGUAUCAUCCACAAACUUUGCCACAAAGCCAUCAAUUCCAUUAUGCAGAUCAUUGAGAAACAAUGUGAAAAACAGCAGUCCCAAUACUGACCCCUGAGGAACACCAUUAGUCAUCGGCAGUCAACUAGGAAAGAGCCCUUUUUAUUCCCACUCACUGCCUCCUGCCUGCUAGCCAUUCACCUAUCCAUGUCAGUAUCUUUCCUGGGACACCUUAGGAUUUUAUCUUGUAAAGCAGCCUUAUGAAUGGCACCUUAUCAAAUGCCUUCUGAAAAUCCAAAUAAUUGGCAUCCACUGCCUCUCCUUUGUCCACCCUGCUUGUUACUUCCUCAAAGAACUCUAACAGAUUUGUCAAGCAAGAUUUCCCUUUACAGAAACCAUACUGACUUUGGCUUAUUUUAUCAUAAGAGUGGAGUGACAUUUGUAAUCUUCCAGUCCUCCAGGACCGUGCCAGAGUCAAGUGAUUCUUCAAAGAUCAUGACGAAUGCAUCUGUUAUCUCUUCAGCACCAUCUUUCUGAACUCUGGGAUGUAAUCCAUCAUGUCCAGUAUGUUUAAACAGAAGUAACAUAACCUGGUGUCAGAAGUGGUUCUAGAAGAAUAAUACAGGAGAAUCGAGAAUGGAAGAUUAUCAAAAAAAAGAAGAAAAAAAGUUCGAACUGUAAAUGGUAAAAUGCAAGGGUUACAAUCCCCAUCAAAUCUUCAGCUGACUGGCAAUGUAGCUGAGAAUUGGUGGAUAUUCAAGCAGCAGUUUGAACUGUACUUAUUGGCAGUCGAUUAUGAAGAAUAAUUGGAAGAAACCAAAGCUGUGCUUCUGCUCCAUGUAAUCGGGAAUGACGCUGCAGAGG